rnacentral:tRNA from 1 species
UGCUUGGCUCAAUGGUAGAGCGUCCGCCUCCUAAGCGGAAGGUUGUGGGUUCGAGUCCCAUGGUGGUAA